rnacentral:hammerhead_ribozyme from 1 species
AUUCAGCUGAUGAGUCCCAAAUGGGAUGAAACGCAUGUCACAAAU